AUACAAUUGAAGCAACUAUAAUUGAGGCUUCGUUCAGAAUAACAAAGAGAGAUUAUGAUAUGUGUCAUGAAAAAGUACGAUAAAAAAAUAUAUAAUUAUUUUCGUAGAUUCAUAAUGAGCCGAUUAUAUAACGAUAUAUCUUUUGUUGUCUCAUCAGAAACGCAAAAAUGUAUCUCUACACGCUUUCGGCCUAAAUCUAAUAGACCUAAUAAUGCUUGACGACACCGACUAUCCCUAGAGCAAGUGGCAAAGGGCUUUGUGGUUGGUAUUCGAGACCCAAGUUCGAAUCCUAGUUGAUUCACAUUUCUGGCUAAGUUUAUUUCUAAAUGAAAUAAACGAAGCGGGUAGCGUGCUAUCCAUCUCAAAAAAAAAUAAAAUAAAAUAAAAUAAUGCUUGACG
rnacentral:lncRNA from 1 species